AAGUCGAGCGGAACGAGUUAUCUGAACCUUCGGGGGACGAUAACGGCGUCGAGCGGCGGACGGGUGAGUAAUGCCUAGGAAAUUGCCCUGAUGUGGGGGAUAACCAUUGGAAACGAUGGCUAAUACCGCAUGAUGCCUACGGGCCAAAGAGGGGGACCUUCGGGCCUCUCGCGUCAGGAUAUGCCUAGGUGGGAUUAGCUAGUUGGUGAGGUAAGGGCUCACCAAGGCGACGAUCCCUAGCUGGUCUGAGAGGAUGAUCAGCCACACUGGAACUGAGACACGGUCCAGACUCCUACGGGAGGCAGCAGUGGGGAAUAUUGCACAAUGGGCGCAAGCCUGAUGCAGCCAUGCCGCGUGUGUGAAGAAGGCCUUCGGGUUGUAAAGCACUUUCAGUCGUGAGGAAGGCGGUGUAGUUAAUAGCUGCAUUAUUUGACGUUAGCGACAGAAGAAGCACCGGCUAACUCCGUGCCAGCACGCGCGGUAA
rnacentral:rRNA from 1 species